rnacentral:sRNA from 1 species
UGCAGCACAUGUUUUACUUCAAGAACAGUUAAAGUUAGGACAUAUAAAACCCUCCACUUCUCCAUGGAAUACAGCCAUAUUUGUUAUUAAGAAAAAAUCUGGAAAGUGGCGAUUAUUACAUGAUCUAUGGGCUAUUAAUGCUCAAAUGCAACUCAUGGGAUCUAUUCAGAGAGGGUUGCCUUUGCUUUCUA